rnacentral:rRNA from 1 species
AUUGAACGCUGGCGGCAUGCUUUACACAUGCAAGUCGAACGGUAACAGGCCUUCGGGUGCUGAUGAGUGGCGCACGGGGGCGUAAUGCAUCGGAACGUACCCAGAGGUGGGGGAUAACGCAGCGAAAGCUGUGCUAAUACCGCAUGUGAUCUGAGGAUGAAAGCGGGGGACCGAGCAGCAAUGUUUGGCCUCGCGCCUUUGGAGCGGCCGAUGUCGGAUUAGCUAGUUGGUGGGGUAAAGGCCUACCAAGGCGACGAUCCGUAGCUGGUCUGAGAGGACGACCAGCCACACUGGGACUGAGACACGGCCCAGACUCCUACGGGAGGCAGCAGUGGGGAAUUUUGGACAAUGGGCGCAAGCCUGAUCCAGCAAUGCCGCGUGCGGGAAGAAGGCCUUCGGGUUGUAAACCGCUUUUGGCAGGAACGAAACGGUGUCCGCUAAUACCGGGCGCUAAUGACGGUACCUGCAGAAUAAGCACCGGCUAACUACGUG